CGAGACCUACGGGAGGCAGCAGUGGGGGAUAUUGGACAAUGGGGGAAACCCUGAUCCAGCGACGCCGCGUGAGUGAAGAAGUAUUUCGGUAUGUAAAUCUCUAUCAGCAGGGAAGAAAUAGCGACCUUUGGGUCGCCAGACGGUACCUGACUAAGAAGCCCCGGCUAACUACGUGCCAGCAGCCGCGGUAAUACGUAGGGGGCAAGCGUUAUCCGGAUUUACUGGGUGUAAAGGGAGCGUAGACGGCAGCACAAGUCUGAAGUGAAAUGCCGGGGCUUAACCCCGGAACUGCUUUGGAAACUGUG
rnacentral:rRNA from 1 species